rnacentral:lncRNA from 1 species
UGCAGAUCACAGUUUUGGGGUCUCCUCUGGUUAGAGCCUGGCCCAUUCGGGUUUGGUUUUCUCCUGGAUGUUCAUUCACAGGUGAAUAAGGUCAAUUCACCGUGGAGUCUGCGUCUGAAUCCUUGUUUCUUAGGUCAUCCUGGGGUCCCAGCUGCCCGGGAUGAAAAAACGAUACCCGGGUACCAGGGAUUGGGGAUCAGGAACGCCCGCGCUCAGGGUAACCGCUACCCUCCCCCGCCACCGCGCACGCGCCGCUUCUCUGCCAAGGAAGGGGCGGGGAGUGGGCGGGGCGGGCACCUUUGGGGCCAAUUGGAAGCGAGCAUCCCCGCCCUCCGAGCCGAUGGACCGAGUUUGACCCCGGCGGUGGGCGGAGGAGGCGGGGCGAGCCGCGCAGCCAGGAAGGGGGCGGGGCCCGGGGCCUGGAGGCGGGGCCUGGGGCUGUCAGUCCCGCGCCCGCCGCCGCGCCGCGGCUCCUUGCAUGCCGUGGCCCGGGUGGCUGCCAACGCUGCCGCCCGCCGCCCGCCACCCUGGCACCCCGAGCCGCCUCCCGCCGCCCCGGCCUGGCGCGCAGGCCAUCAGCAAGUCCUGUUGAUUCUACCUUCAAAAUAUAGCCUGGAUCUGACCACUUUUUAUCUCCAUAUGGGAGGGCUGCUGACCACCAGCAGCACGGACCUCUGGAGGCCGAAACAGGCCUGA